rnacentral:lncRNA from 1 species
GUGAGGAGGUUGAGGUGAGGUAUCUUGCGUUCACAAUUUUCGCAUUCAUAGCAGUACAAUUCGUACUAUUUUACUGGUUGCUAAUCACUUUUAGGAGGUUGUGGUGGUGGUAACGGUGGUGGUGCUGCUGUUGGAUGUAGCGGUGAGGUGGAGGUCACAAGUAUUGGUGGUUACAAAUUAUUUGAUUGAUUGUGAUCAUUAAAUUAUUUAACCAGUGACCAAUAAAUAAUAAUGCGACCAAUGAAAUAUAAUAGCUGUGACCAAAAAAUAAUAAUUGUGAUAAAAAAAAUAAUGUGUAACCUAAAAAAAUUGUUAAUUUGUGAACGAAAAUUUGAUAAUUUGU